UUCUAGCCCAGAUAGGAGCGACAUCCUCUAGUGGUCUCGUUUUUUUUAAACGAGACCACUAGAGAUAUAGCGCAUAGCUGGAAUUAGC
rnacentral:sRNA from 1 species